rnacentral:tRNA from 1 species
AGGCCUUUAGCUCAGUUGGUAGAGCGUGUGCCUUACAAGCACAAUGUCAUCGGUUCGAUCCCGGUAGGGCCUA